CAGCCGCCACGGUAAUACGAAGGGGGCUAGCGUUGUUCGGAAUUACUGGGCGUAAAGCGCACGUAGGCGGACAUUUAAGUCAGGGGUGAAAUCCCGGGGCUCAACCCCGGAACUGCCUUUGAUACUGGGUGUCUAGAGUAUGGAAGAGGUGAGUGGAAUUCCGAGUGUAGAGGUGAAAUUCGUAGAUAUUCGGAGGAACACCAGUGGCGAAGGCGGCUCACUGGUCCAUUACUGACGCUGAGGUGCGAAAGCGUGGGGAGCAAACAGGAUUAGAUACCCCCGUAGUCCCUGUCUCUUAUAC
rnacentral:rRNA from 1 species